GCGGGAGAUCUGGGAUCAGCGGAGCCUCAUACGCCUCGCGUGGCGGGUUCGAUUCCCGCUCCCGCG
rnacentral:tRNA from 1 species